rnacentral:rRNA from 1 species
UACGGGGGGAGCAAGCGUUGUUCGGAUUUACUGGGCGUAAAGGGCGCGUAGGCGGCGUAACAAGUCACUUGUGAAAUCUCCGGGCUUAACUCGGAGCGGUCAAGUGAUACUGUUGUGCUAGAGUGCGGAAGGGGCUACUGGAAUUCUCGGUGUAGCGGUGAAAUGCGUAGAUAUCGAGAGGAACACCUGCGGCGAAGGCGGGUUGCUGGGCUGACACUGACGCUGAGGCGCGAAAGCUAGGGGAGCGAACGGG